rnacentral:rRNA from 1 species
GAUGAACGCUAGCUACAGGCUUAACACAUGCAAGUCGAGGGGUAGCAGGGUAGCAAUAACGCUGACGACCGGCGCACGGGUGAGUAACACGUAUACAACCUUCCCAUAACUGGGGGAUAGCGUUUCGAAAGAAAGAGAAAUACACGAUAGUACUUAUUUAAGUCAUCUCAUUUAAGUUAAAGAGUUAUUGGUUAUGGAUGGGGAUGCGUUGCAUUAGAUAGUUGGUGAGGUAACGGCUCACCAAGUCUUCGAUGGAUAGGGGUUCUGAGAGGAAGGUCCCCCACAUUGGUACUGAGACACGGACCAAACUCCUACGGGAGGCAGCAGUGAGGAAUAUUGGUCAAUGGGCGAGAGCCUGAACCAGCCAAGUAGCGUGAAGGAUGAAGGUCCUAUGGAUUGUAAACUUCCUUUAUAGUAGAAUAAAGUUAGCCACGUGUGGUUAUUUGUAUGUAUACUAUGAAUAAGGAUCGGCUAACUCCGUGCCAGCCGCCGCCGUAACAC